rnacentral:rRNA from 1 species
UACAGAGGGUGCGAGCGUUGUCCGGAAUCACUGGGCGGAAAGGGCGCGUAGGUGGCGACCCAAGUCGAUGGUGAAAGCUCGCCGCUCAACGGCGAGUCGGCCACCGAUACUGGGUUGCUGGAGCACUGUAGAGGCAGAUGGAAUUCCGGGUGUAGCGGUGGAAUGCGUAGAGAUCCGGAAGAACACCGGUGGCGAAGGCGGUCUGCUGGGCAGUUGCUGACACUGAGGCGCGACAGCGUGGGGAGCAAACAGG